rnacentral:rRNA from 1 species
AAAAACAUGUCCUUUUGUGUAAAAUAUAAGGUUUAACCUGCCCAAUGAUUGAAUUUAAUGGCCGCGGUAUAUUAACUGUGCUAAGGUAGCAUAAUCAUUUGUCUUUUAAUUAAAGGCUGGAAUGAAUGGUUGGACGAAGUAUAUACUUUCUUUAAUUUAAUUUGUGAAUUUAAUUUUUUAGUUAAAAAGCUAAAAUAUAAUUGAGGGACGAGAAGACCCUAUAGAUCUUUAUAUUUAAAAUUUUUAUUUAUUAUAGGUAUAUAAAUUAUUAUAAUGGUUUGAAAUAUUUGGUUGGGGUGACUGUAGAAUAAAAUUAACUUCUAUUUAUAUUUAUCAUUAAUUUAUGUAAUUUUGAUCCAGAUUUUCUGAUUAAAAGAUUAAGUUACCUUAGGGAUAACAGCGUAAUUCUUUUGGAGAGUUCAAAUCGAUAAAGGAGUUUGCGACCUCGAUGUUGGAUUAAAAUAAGUUUUAGGUGCAGAAGCUUAAAAACUAGGUCUGUUCGACCUUUAAUUUUUUACAUGAUCUGA